AAGGANGUCACACGAACCAGGUUUGAUUCCUUGAGUUUAAAAAAAUGAGCUCCAUCUCUGAUUUCUGAAAUUUUGGAGAGAAUUUGUUCUCUGAGGUAAUUAGCUUGAAUCAUUCAAGUCGACUCGUGUUGUUUAUUGCUUGAAUUAACUGAUUGCAACUGUUCAUUUGGAGCUCGAGUGCUUGACUCGAAGACUUAAAUUCAUUUUUCAUUCUUGUUGCUGUUGAAUUUUGAUCGAGAGUUUGUCGUCAAGUUUUCAGUUGAAUUGAAUUAGUUUUGGAGAGCCAAAGUUGAGUUGUAAUUCUGCAUUCAAGAACCACUGUUUGGGACAGCAUUUAGCAACAUCUUUCUGCAUUGUAUGCUCAGAUCACACCAGCUCUUUAGCUACUUCUUGUUGUCCAGAAAUUGCAGCAACAAACAAAUGGUUUAGGCUGCUGGAAAUCCAACACUUUUGAGCAGUAAAUCUGCCCUGUUUCAGCAGUGUUUGAUCAGACUUCUGCAUAUGUUUGACAGCCUAAUUGCAUCAAUUUGGAGGAGUGUUUGAGCAGCAAAAUCUGCACAGUUUGGACUGAGAGUUCAGCAUUGUUUCUACAUCUGUGAGCUUCUAAAAUCUGAAGCCUUGGACUAGCAUUAGAGCAAAGAAAAUCUGUAUUAUUCCUGCCACUGAUAUUUGCGCUGUUUCAGCAAUUUCUGCAGUUUUGUUGACUGUUUUCAGCUGAAUUUUUUUUGCACUUUGUGGUUAUUCUGCUUUGUGGAAACUGCAACUGAAAUUGAAAAGGUUUUAAGUUUGAGAUUCUUUGAGCUUGUGAACCUAAGUUUGAGCGGUGUUUAACAGCAUAAAUUGCACAAGUUGUUAACCUCGAAAUCAGCAUUGUUCCUGCUAUUUUGGGCAUCAGUUGCACAUCUACAGAUUAAUUUUUCCCAGUUGUUUUAGUUGUUUAACAGAAUUGUAGUUCACAGUGGUUUCAAGUUUAAUUCAGGUCCAGGGAAUGCUCAGGAAACUUCAGAAAACUAGGAGCUACAGUGGUCGCACAGUUUUACCGAGAAACUCUGAUUGUUAACUCUAAAUUAGUUUCAGUUUUCUGUCAACUUUUUAUUGUGCUCUAAACUAGUGUAAACUUGAUAUUAGUUCAUAUUAAGUUUAACAUAGUUCUUUGUGUGCUUAAUUUUGUUUCGUGCCAAUUGUUUCGUGCUUUUGUCUUUUAAUUUCGUUGCGAAUUGCUUGGUUCAAGUCCGUUUGCUUUUAAUUGUGCGUCCUUGUGAAUACACAACUUCCACUCCACCCCGAAGCGGUUGGUACUUGUUGUGAAACCUUGGAACUUAAGUUUGCUAGCAAUUUUGACAUUCACUACUUGAGCGGAAAAAGGCAAGAGUGAAUAGGACAUUGAGCACGCAAGAGCCAAUUGGUGCAAAGUGCGAUACACGAGGGUUGAGCGAUAUCAAGUGAGUUGGUGAGGACUUUUACUACUAACUUGUUUGCUCAUUUUGUAGGUAUCAUGGAGUACGGACAAACUUUUACUCCUAAUUGUGAUCCACGGAGUGAGACUCCGAUGCAUGAUGUUGUUUCUAUGCUUUAUGACAUAAGCGAGAAGGUUACCAACUUAAGUGAGAAGGUUACCAAUAUUAGCAUACGGCAACACCAAACGGAUGCAAGGUUGAAUUCCAUGAUAGAGGAAUCUCACUUGAGGCAACAAGGAAGGGAGCAUAGUAUGACGCUUACUAAUUCCUCUACUACACCCUCUCCUUCACAAGUGCGAGAAAUGCUUCAAAGGGAAAAAUUGCAACUCCACCAACCCAACCAAAUACCACAAAACUUACCAAGGCAACCACAAUCACCAAAGGGACCUUAUUUUCCUCCACCAAACUACCGACCACCUAUCCCCUACCAACCUCCAACCACACAUCCUCGACCACAAGUACCUCAACUUCAACCUUAUCACACUCCACCACAAGUUUACUCUUCACCACCACAACCCCACCAAGAUUACUUUCCACCACCCCAAGUGUCCUACCCACAAGUACACCAACCACCAUUUACACCUCAAGCACACAUACCCAUAAUACCACCACCCAAAUGACCCAACCUCGACCACCAAUGAAUUUAGCUCCCCAACGUAUGCCUCAAGCACCACCAAGGAGGGACAAUCUCCCUCCUCCACCACCCAUACCACCUCAAGAGCCUCAAAUGAUUAACAACCCACUUUUUCAAUAUGAUCAUGAGACCACCUUGAAUGAGUUGACAACAUCCAACAAGUUUUCCAUGAUAAAUAUAGGGGGGAUAAAGUGAACCAAAGGGGAAGAGGCCAAAUGAGUUUGAGAACGUCCUUGAAAAAUGCAAAAGAGAAAAAGUAAGGAUGAGAGACAAAAGAUAGAGAGUAGUGAGAGAGAGAAAAGUGACAACUCUAGAGUGGAUAAAGGAGGGAAAGUAUGGAGUGAAGUGAGUGAGUUGUCACAAGAAAUGAGUGAAGAGCUUAAAAAGAAAAUGAGAGACAAGAAAGAAGGAAAACAAAAAGAGAGUGAAAUUUUUCCUUAUUCUAAUGCUAACAACCUUUCUUCUUUCUCUAGUUGUUUUGUAUCUUGUGAAGGAACUUUUGGAGGUGAGCCAUUAAUUGAAGUUCAAUCUACUUUGACGAACUUGGAAGAAGAUCAAGCUACCUUUUCGAGAGAACUUUUGAAAUUUAAUGAGCAAGUUCAAGGUAAAGAGAAUUUCACUUUAGAAGAGCUUCAAGGUAACAUAGCUCAUCCUUCUACUCGUGAUACUUUAGUUGAUUGUGGUGACACUUUGAGUUUGAAAUAUAGCUAUGAUAUUGAUACUUUUUUAUCUUGCAAUGAGAAAAACAGUUUUGGGUUGCAACUAGCUAGGAGUGCUUGCGCAUUAUUGGACGAUUCUAGUUCUUUGUUUAAUGAAUCCCUAGCUAGUGAUUUGUGUGAUGUUGAAUCUUAUGAUACCCCACCUUUAUGGGAUGAUGCAUGUGAUGAUUCUUUUGACUCUACUUUAACUUUGUUAGAAGAAAGUUUUGACCUUUAUGGAGAAAUGAGUCAAGAAGAAUGUGUUGAUGAUUCUUUUGAUUCUAUUUUCAUUCUUUUGGCAAAAAGAUUCAAUUUUUAUGGUGAAAUGAGCAAAUGUGAGUUUGGAGAUACCUUGUUCGAGAGUGACAAGUUACUUCUAAUGACAUAAAUAUAAAAGAAAAACUUCCAUUUGUAUUCCAAUGAGUUAACUUCUCUUGUAUUUGAUCUUGAUGACUAUUAUGCAUAUUUAUGUGAUGAUUUUGUUGAGUGUGAAAAGGAAUGUAAAUUUUUUGAUGCUAGCACUAGUAUUUAUUGCUUUACUUAUUUUAUUCCUACUUUUGAAAGAACAUUCUCGUUGGAUUUUGCCAAUGCUUCGAUGAGAAAAGGUAAGAAUGUUUCUUUUGGUAUUUUGAGUGACCAUUUUGAGCAAAAAGAACCUAACUUUAUUGAUUUUUUUGUGAAGGUUCAACAUGAGAAAGUUGUUAAGGUUAAGAAAGGCCUUGAACUAACACUUUGGCAUACUUUUUAUCAAGAGCUUUUUGUUUUUCCCAAAAGCAAGAACGGUAUGUACGUUUGGCUUAUGCUUAUUUUGUGUUUAUCUAAGGGCAUUGAGGUAAAGAGUUUUAACUUUGAGUAUUAUGAUAUUCUUUAUAUGAUGAUUCAUGAUGAGCAUGGCAUAUCUCUUAAGUUGUCAUGUGAAGUUGUUGGAAGGUGUGUAGAUAUUUGGAGAUUAAAAUUUGUGUUUGACCACGGAGUUGCUUCUUAUCAUGGUGAAGUGUCUUUCUUUGAGUUGGAGAGUAUGAUUUUUAUUCCUUCUUAUGACACUUGAUUAUACCAUAAAAGUGUGCACUUUGUUGAGGAUUUGACAAUAUUGUGGUUUUGUUGGAAGCAUGAAACUUUACACUCUCUUAAUUCUUCUCAUGAUUUAUUAUUUUUCUUAUAGUCAAGUUUGUGUCAUUAGUAAUGGAGAUGUGUUCUUUAUAGAUUGCGACACUUGGCUAUAUCAUAAGAGUGUCACUUUUGAGUACAAGAUUGUGAUCUCUGAUCUUUUAGCUUGGACAUACAAUACUUUGAUUGUGAUUGGCUUGAUACUUAUCUUUGCCUCUUUCUUGGUUUUGCAAGGCCCACUCUAGUAUAAAUAGCCCUUAAGGCUUUUAUUUUAGGUAGACUUGAUGAAUGAUAAAUCUUGAAGACAUGCAAGCCUCACACUCUUUCCUUAUCUUUUAAUUAAUGCAUUUAUGUUUAUACCUUUAAUUCCUCUAUUGCUUUGUUUAUGCUUUCAUUAGUGCUAAAUUAAUCUUAGUUGGUGAACAAUUAGUAGUGAAUUAAUUGCUUAAUUACUUUAUCCGGGUUUUCAAGAGUUGUCUAUCUCUUGAGGGUUUUCAUAGAUUGUGUUCGUAGAGGUAAUUAGGCUUCAUAGCCUAAUUGGUUCUUGUUCUUCCAAUCAAUUGUAGGUCUAGCUCUUAUUGUUGAUUCCGCGUAUUUUGUCAUAUCCGUGUUUUGGUUCAUAGUUCGUAUCAAUAAUGCAAUUUUAAUCAGUUAGACGGAAGCGAGACUGAGAUGGUUUGGGCAUAUGAAGAAGAGUAGCAUAGAUGUCCUUGUGAGGAGGUGCGAGAGGUUGGCGGCGGUAAUAGUUCUAAGGAGAGGUAGAUGUAGACUGAAGAAGAAUCGGGGAGAGGUGAUUAUACAUGGCGCGACACAUCUUCAGCUCAACGAGGACAUGACCCAAAUAGGGGAGCAUGGAGGUCAAGGAUUAGGGUAGAAGGUUAGUGGAUAAUCGAGCGAUUUCUCUCUUCUCGGUUGGAGAGCGUGGUUGUAGUUUGGAGCACCUUAUAUGCUCCCUAUGCUCCUUAUCAGUGUUAUUAGUGUUAUUGGAUUGCUAA